UACAGAGGUCUCAAGCGUUGUUCGGAUUCAUUGGGCGUAAAGGGUGCGUAGGCGGCGCGGUAAGUCGGAUGUGGAAUCUCGGAGCUUAACUUCGAAACUGCAUUCGAUACUGCCGUGCUUGAGGACUGGAGAGGAGACUGGAAUUUACGGUGUAGCGGUGAAAUGCGUAGAUAUCGUAAGGAAGACCAGUGGCGAAGGCGGGUCUCUGGACAGUUCCUGACGCUGAGGCACGAAGGUCAGGGGAGCAAACGGG
rnacentral:rRNA from 1 species